rnacentral:rRNA from 1 species
CAAUAGCGUAUAUUGAAGUUGUUGCAGUUAAAAAGCUCGUAGUUGGAUUUCUGGUGGGAGCGAUCGGUCUGGCGCUUAGCGCGAGUACUUGCAUCGUCUCCGGCCAUCCUUGGGGAGAGUCUGUCUGGCAUUAAGUUGUCGGGCAGAGGAUCCUCAUCGUUUACUGUGAAAAAAUUAGAGUGUUCAAAGCAGGCUUAUGCCGUUGAAUAUAUUAGCAUGGAAUAAUAAGAUAGGACUUUGGUACUAUUUUGUUGGUUUGCGCACCAAAGUAAUGAUUAAUAGGAACAGUUGGGGGUAUUCGUAUUCCGUUGUCAGAGGUGAAAUUCUUGGAUUUACGGAAGACGAACUACUGCGAAAGCAUUUACCAAGGAUGUUUUCAUUAA